CCACUGACACUCCCUGAGCAGGAGCAUGUUCUUUUCACUGCAUGCAGCAGUUGGCCUCAAGUUCACCCUCUGGGAUUUGGGCUUAUGCUGACAUUUUGAUCACUGUAGUUGUAUUAGAGACAGUUUGGCCAGUUUCAGUGAACAUAUUCCUUGAAGUAAUUGAUCCCCAGAGGAAAGAGUGCUUUACCUGCUACCUAUUAUUUCUUUAAGCAAUGGAAACAUAGCAAAAACUUGGAUAGUGAGUUGGAACUAGAUGAUCUUUAAGGCCCCUUCCAAUCCAAACCAUUUUAUGAUUCUAUAAUAAACGACGCUUUUUUUUUCCCCUCUGCCACAGGUGAAGAGAAGCUAGGCUUUGCUUUGUCCUUACAGGGGUAAGAGAGCUCAAGGAUGGCUGCUUUUCUUCCUCUUUUCAAGGCAGAGUUACAAUUCAGCAGGAGUUUUUCAAACACAUCCUGCAGGAGACUGCACUGGCUACUGAGCACAGAGGCAGCCUGUUGACUCUCUCUUAUAUUAGGAGUAAAAAAAUCAUGCAGUGGAAAGACACAAAGGUAGACUGGACUACUGUGGCCUCAGUACUGGCUUUGCAAGUUGGCUGUGACUUUCCACCACCCCUUUGAAGAGGUCAUGAGGUCUGUGUGGUAUUUUCAGAACUGAUGCUCUCCAGUGAACUCCUGCAGCUUUCUUGAGCACCACCUCACACCCAGCACCUCACCUGGGCUCUCACCUUUCAUGCCACAGUUGUUCUUGGGGAACAACCCUGCUUUGUGCACACCUGCAUGUACAGACACAUUUUACAUCACUUGAGCUUUGGAGCUUGACUCCCUAAAUCAUUUGUGUUUGCAACAUCAUUGAAGGGUAACAGUGACUUGGAAAAUCCACCUAACUGCCUCACUCCAUUUUAGGGGCCUUAUUUCAGUUUUGAAGAUGGGAUCUAUAGACCUAAUUUACUUUAAUGCUUUUGAAAAUUAAAUACUAAAGAAUAUGACAUUCUACAGAAGAGACAGUCUCAAGUUUAGGGAUGAAAAGUGUCCUUUAGGGCUGUAAUGUAUUUUGCUAUUACUGCUUGGGGAAUAAUACUAAGGAUGAUAGAGAGCAACUUGACAGGAUUCAUUAAGGCAGAGACAGCAUGUGUAUGAUGUGAUGCACAGGACUCUGCACAAGUCUGCCUGUGCAGAGCAAACUGCUCUGGUUUUUACUAAAUGUGAUUUAUGAGUUUGUUUUUGUGAUUUUGUCUUUUUUUUUUUCUAUUCUAAAAGAUGAAUCUCAAAAGCGCAACACUGAGAGUGCUCAUAACAAAGGUGCCCUGUUGAACACAGCAAGUGGCACAACAUUGUACAGCACGACUGUGACAGCAAAGGCCCUGAGCCCACACUGCUGAGAUAGUGCAGGAUUGUCAGCGUGUGGAAAACCAAACCCCACAGACAACACACGUUCACUCUUUGAUAUGCAGAACUUUUAGACUCCACUACAAGUGACUUUUCUCAACCUGACACCAACUAAAUGGUACAGAAAAGGAAAUGCAGCAGAUACACCACAGGGUUGCACAGAUCUUCUAGACUGAGUUACAGCUGAGACUGCAGUUCAACAAAAUAAUGGCUGCAACACUGCCUUGUAGCAAACCACAGUUACCCUGCCAGCAUCUCAUCUCAUCUCAUCUCAUCUCCCUGGAUGUCUCGUACCUUUGACACAGCUCAUAAUGAGUAGGGAAGACUCCACUCUCAGGCUGUUGCUUGGCUUCAACGUGCACAUUCAAAGUCCCUGUGAAAGACAGCUACUCCAGCCAUUAGGAUACUGAAGUCUGCAUAAAGUCAAAAUCCAGCAACAGGAGAAGAAUUGCCAGAAAGCUGUUUCAUGAGGUUCUCUUCCAAAACUUCAGACAACUGGAAUGUUAGCAGGGAAGGCACUUAUGGGGCUUUGAUGUGAGAACAAUUAAACACUGCAGCAACCUUGCCAGGGAUGUGGCAGAAUCCCCAUACUGGAUUUUCAACACCUGAGUGAACAGGGUGCUGGAUUCAUGUCAUCUAGGCUCCCUUUCCCAUUAAAGGUUGGACCACGUGUCCACUCAAGGUCCCUUCCAGCCUGGGUUAUUCUGAGAGUUUUCAGCUUCUCCGCUUACACCACUGGCAAUGCAGGUUCCUUUCUGCUGUAACAGAUGGUCAGCUCCUGGACAGUAUUUGAGAACCAAUGUGAAUUUAAGCUUCAAAGCAAGGUAUGCAGAGCACAAAAAACAAGUUUAAGGCUAAAGGUAUUGCCAGUUCCACUGGAUACCUUCCUUAGCUGCACCAUUACAAGCAGAAUCAAGUGUUUCUUUUAGAAGAGUUUCUUUUCCAAAGCAACACUGACAUGAAUGAAAGGAGAAAUAAGAAUGUCCGAGUCAAUCAAAGUUAAUUACCUUCUAAAGAGCUU